rnacentral:rRNA from 1 species
GAUGUACUACAUGGUAGGGGAGCGUCGCAUACGGGGAGAAGCAUGACCGGAAGGACAUGUGGACUGUAUGGGAGUGAGAAUGCCGGAAUGAGUAGCGAGAAUUGCGUGAGAAUCGUAAUGGCCGAAAAUCUAAGGUUUCCAGGGGCAGGUUCGUCCGCCCUGGGUAAGCCGGGAGCUAAGGCGAGGCCGAAAGGCGUAGUCGAUGCACAUACGGUAGAGAUUCCGUAGCCGCUAAAGUUUAAGCACACUGACGUGUGAGUAAUCCAUGACCCGGGCGUUGGUUGCCCCGGGCGAAAGGGACUGAAAAUUAGUAGGGAAGCAUGGAGAGCUUGCAGCGAGAAAAGGUGUGAGGAACACUGAAGGCGCCCGUACCGCAAACCGACACAGGUAGAUGAGGAGAGAAUCCUAAGGCCAACGGGAGAAGGGUUGCUAAGGAACUCGGCAUAUUAACCCCGUAACUUCGGGAGAAGGGGUGCCUCCGAUAGAGAUAUCGAGGUCGCAGUGAAAAGGCCCAGGCGACUGUUUAUCAAAAACACAGGUCUCUGCAAAACCGAAAGGUGAAGUAUAGGGGCUGACGCCUGCCCGGUGCUGGAAGGUCAAGGGGAAUGCUUAGCGCAAGCGAAGGCAUGAACUUAAGCCCCAGUAAACGGCGGCCGUAACAAUAACGGUCCUAAGGUAGCGAAAUUCCUUGCCAGGUAAGUUCUGGCCCGCACGAAUGGCGUAACGAUCUGGGCACUGUCUCAACAGCCCGCCCGGCGAAAUUGUAGUACCGGUGAAGAUGCCGGUUACCCGCGACUAGACGGAAAGACCCCAUGGAGCUCUACUGUAGCCUGAUACUGAUACUUGAUCCAUUAUGUACAGGAUAGGUGGGAGACUGGGAAACUUAGGCGUCAGCUUAAGUGGAGUCGCCGUUGGGAUACCACUCUUGAUGGAUCAGGUAUCUAACCUGCAGCCGUGAAUCCGGCUGGGGGACAAUGUCAGGUGGGCAGUUUGACUGGGGCGGUCGCCUCCAAAAGAGUAACGGAGGCGUUCAAAGGUUAGCUCAGCGCGGACGGAAAUCGCGCAAUGAGUGCAAACGCAGAAGCUAGCCUAACUGCGAGACCCACAAGUCGAGCAGUAACGAAAGUUGGAGUUAGUGAUCAGGUGGUAGUGAGUGGAAAUGCCAUCGCUUAACGGAUAAAAGCUACCCUGGGGAUAACAGGCUGAUUUCCCCCAAGAGUUCACAUCGACGGGGAAGUUUGGCACCUCGAUGUCGGCUCAUCACAUCCUGGGGCUUGGAGAAGGUCCCAAGGGUUCGGCUGUCCGCCGAUUAAAGUGGUACGCGAGCUGGGUUCAGAACGUCGUGAGACAGUUCGGUCCCUAUCUGUCGUGGGCGUAGGAUAUUUGAGAGGAGCUGACCCUAGUACGAGAGGACCAGGUCGGACGCACCUCCGGUGCAUCAGUUGUACUGCCAAGUGCAUAGCUGAGUAGCCGCGUGCGGAUGGGAUAAACGCUGAAAGCAUCUAAGCGUGAAGCCCACCUCAAGAUGAGAUAUCCACAGCAAAAGCUGGUAUGGUCACUCGUAGACUACGAGUUUGAUAGGUCGGAGGUGUAAGCGAUGAAAGUCGCUGAGCUGACCGAUACUAAUAGACCGAGUGCUUGAGU